rnacentral:pre_miRNA from 1 species
UCCGUAGUUUUGACCAUUUUAUCCAACCUAAUAAUGUGAUAAAUGCAUCUUAACUGCGGUGA